rnacentral:rRNA from 1 species
AUUUUAGAGAGUUUGAUCCUGGCUCAGGACGAACGCUGGCGGCGUGCCUAACACAUGCAAGUCGAACGGAACUUACCGAAUGAAGUCUUCGGAUGGAUUUUGGUAAGUUUAGUGGCGGACGGGUGAGUAACGCGUGAGUAACCUGCCUUCAAGAGGGGAAUAACGUUCUGAAAAGAACGCUAAUACCGCAUAACAUACGGAUGUCGCAUGGCAACCGUAUCAAAGAUUUUAUCGCUUGAAGAUGGACUCGCGUCCGAUUAGCCAGUUGGCGGGGUAACGGCCCACCAAAGCGACGAUCGGUAGCCGGACUGAGAGGUUGAACGGCCACAUUGGGACUGAGACACGGCCCCUUUGAGCGUUUCUCGUACAGCAUGGCAUCGUGGGGAAGCGUGACCGGUUGCAUAGACUGUUCCUUUCCCACGGCGCCAAAUAGCCAACCCCGGUUAAAAUCUUU